rnacentral:rRNA from 1 species
AACGUAGGAGGCGAGCGUUAUCCGGAUUUACUGGGCGUAAAGCGCACGCAGGUGGCUUCGUAAGUCGGACAUGAAAGCUCCUGGCUUAACUGGGAGAGGUUGUUCGAUACUGCGGGGCUUGAGGUUGGGAGAGGGACGUGGAAUUCCCGGUGUAGUGGUGGAAUGCGUAGAUAUCGGGAGGAACACCAGUGGCGCAAGCGGCGUCCUGGCCCACACCUGACGCUGAGGUGCGAAAGCGUGGGUAGCAAACAGGAUUAGAUACCCUGGUAGUCCACGCUGUAAACGAUGUCAACUGGGUGUCGGUAGUUUUACACUAGCGGUGCCGAAGCCAACGCGUUAAGUUGACCGCCUGGGGACUACGGCCGCAAGGCUAAA